GAACGCUGGCGGCGUGCCUAAUACAUGCAAGUAGAACGCACAGGAUGCACCGUAGUUUACUACACCGUAUUCUGUGAGUUGCGAACGGGUGAGUAACGCGUAGGUAACCUGCCUGGUAGCGGGGGAUAACUAUUGGAAACGAUAGCUAAUACCGCAUAAGAACAUUUACUGCAUGGUAGAUGUUUAAAAGGUGCAAGAGCAUCACUACCAGAUGGACCUGCGUUGUAUUAGCUAGUUGGUGAGGUAACGGCUCACCAAGGCAACGAUACAUAGCCGACCUGAGAGGGUGAUCGGCCACACUGGGACUGAGACACGGCCCAGACUCCUACGGGAGGCAGCAGUAGGGAAUCUUCGGCAAUGGGGGGAACCCUGACCGAGCAACGCCGCGUGAGUGAAGAAGGUUUUCGGAUCGUAAAGCUCUGUUGUUAAGGAAGAACGUGUGUGAGAGUGGAAAGUUCA
rnacentral:rRNA from 1 species